GUGCUCACUUUGGCAUCACGUAUAUUAAAAUUGGAAUGACAAAGAGAAGAUUAGCAUAGCCCCCGAGCAAGGGCGGCACACAAAUUCAUGGGUGUUCCCUAUUUUU